CACGAAAGAGGGUUGAUGCUCCUGCUCCUGGCUUUCUGGGUGAAAACCCUAUUUAGUCUCACACUUAAGUCUUCUUGUCAACAUGUUUGAAAUUAUCGUUUGCUGAUUGCUGAUGAUCUGGAAUACCGAUGAACAUGAGGCUAUGCAAGCGCUUGCCAUAACAUCUCGCCCACAAUUCAAAGUGCAUGCAAUUCCUUUUCUCCAUCCCCUUAUCUUAAAAGUUACCAACGAAUAAUGAUGUUCUGCUUUUCCUGUUUUGUUUUUCUUGUUCAAAUAGCAGAUGACAAGCUUCUACUUAAUCUUAUCAAGUCAAACCAUUUGCAUUUUUAGUCUCAUCAUCCACACUUUAUAACUUCUACGAUUCCCUGUAAUCUCCGCCCUCAGAUAAUCUUUCGAGUUGCUAUUCUAUUCUACUGCCAAUACUUGUGCGUUUUAUAAUUUUUAAUUAAAUCAUCUUCAUUCUUGCUAUGACAUUACCACUCCCUUGUAGAUUUGGCCUUCUACAUUUUAUUCCUUGGUGGUCAAAACAUCGUGGCAACUUUCAGAAGCUAUUUCCACAUUCAUAGAAGAGGUUCAUAUAUGAGGACUGGUUCAAGCCCCGUAUUGCUGCGAAGUUGAAGUUGCCCGUCUUUUGGGAUGAUCAAUGCCUCCAAGCACCUCCAAAAGAUGAACUUUGAAACCAACACAUUCCUGUGCGCAUUGCAAACAUAUCAGAUGAAAAAUAAAAGCAAUUGUUCAAGUCCGUUCUUUCCCCACAGCCUAAUUCUCCAACUGUAUGAAAAGGAACAUUGAUCUCCAACAAUACUUUGGUUUUCAGAUGACAGUGUCACCCUUUCCUCUGUCAUCGAAGUUCGUCGUUCAGCUUCUCUUUCUGCUACCAAAACAUGGAACUCCGACCCAAGCAUCUCAUCUACUGCAAGAUUCAGCGUGCUGCUCAAAUUAAUGGUCUCCAAUAUAGAGUUAAAUUAAAGCCAGACAGGGAUGGCAUUUGUAUUGGAUUUGGUGUGCUGUUGCUCAGUAUUGUUUAGUGGGGCCUCUGAAAUAUUGUCCCUGGCAUCCACAUGUUCACCAACCCAGACGGCCCCAUUACAGUCAAGUAUCAGGUCGCCUCCGUAGUGUUCCAAAUUUUCUGGAAAUGAUGUUUCUGUUUUUUCCCUAGAUAGCUAGGGACUGUGAGCAACUGGCCCAUCUCAAGCUGUAAUGCAUAAAAAUAUCACUGUUAACGAUAAUAAUAGCAUUAAACGAACACCUUCUGACAUACCAUGCAGACAGACAGACAGACAGACAGAGGGGGGACACCUACAGUCCGGUCAGCUGACCAGACGGAUCAGAUGCUGUCCAGGCAAGUCUGCUGGGCCAUAGCACAAACAGGCAAGACCAGACAGUUGUCAGAUCAAGUCCGUUGGGCCGUCGCCUAACAACCAAGACCAUUCGGCUUGUCCCAACCAGAUAGCUA